AGCGAACGUUAGCGGCGCGCCUAACACAUGCAAGUCGAACGAGAAAGGGCUUCGGCCCCGGUAAAGUGGCGCACGGGUGAGUAACACGUGGGUAAUCUUCCCUCGAGCGGGGGAUAACAUUCCGAAAGGAGUGCUAAAUACCGCAUAAGACCACGGAGUCGAAAGACACUGAGGUAAAAGCAGCCCUCUUCAUGAAAGGUUGCACUUGAGGAUGAGCCCGCGGCCCAUCAGGUUGUUGGCAGGGUAACGGCCUACCAAGCCUAAGACGGGUAGCUGGUCUGAGAGGAUGAUCAGCCACACUGGAACUGAGACACGGUCCAGACUCCUACGGGAGGCUG
rnacentral:rRNA from 1 species